GUACCGUGAGGGAAAGAUGAAAAGAACUUUGAAAAGAGAGUUAAACAGUACGUGAAAUUGUUGAAAGGGAAACGAUUGAAGUCAGUCAUACCAACGGGAAAUCAACCUUUUGAUCUCGGUCUCGUGGGUUUUGAAGAGUUUCAAAGCCUUCGGAUUCGCGAGUUUGGGAUCUCUUGGUGUACUUUUUCGUACGGUUAGUCAACAUCGGUUUUGAAUGUCAUAAAAUGACUGGAGGAAUGUAGCUUCGAUCUCGUAUUGAAGUGUUAUAGCCUUUGGUAGAUGUGAUGUUUGAGACCGAGGAUUGCAACGGAUACCCUUCAGGGCUAUUCGUCUGAUCUCUGAUACGUUGCCCUGAUGUUGAAAGCUUGCUUAUGAUGUUAGGGUAUUACGGUCAAAAGGUUAGAACGAAUUACAUUCGUUAAGG
rnacentral:rRNA from 1 species